AGACCAAUAGCAAAAAAGUACCAAUAGUCACGUGACCUUAAAACAUAGUCAUGUCAAAUAUCUGUAAAAAUUUAUUAAUCUUAUCCGAAAUAGGUACUAGGUACCAAAUUUCAACCAAAUCGCACCAAUAGCAAAAAAGUUAUGAUAGUCGACUAACCUUAAAAAUCAAUAAUUUCAAAAAAAUUUUAUUUACAACCCAAAAGCAAUGUUUAAGAAUUGUUAACAUUUAUUAAUAAUAAACUAAAUAGUAAAAACUCACCUAAUAUCUAAAUUUUUAUUUUAAAUUAAAUAGAUCAUUACGACUGACCCGUGUAUAUAUUCGAAUAAUUUUAAUAAAAUAAUCGGGCAAAUUUCAUUUCGCCUCACCCCGGUAUAAAAUCACUGACAUUUCAAAAAAACGGCAUUUUUCGAAGACGUCAAAAUGUUUGCCGAAUUUUCCUGGCCGCAAUACACAAUUUCCCCAAUCGAUAUGCACAGAUUCGGAAAGCCCAUUCAUUUUCUGAUUCGGUGCUUCCUUUCCCUGAUCGUUUCCGGUUCAUUUUCAUUCAUAAUUUUACAAAAAACCCAACCAAGUCCCGGCCACCUGUCACGAGCAAAAAAUUUGUAUCCACCAUGCGUCAAAGUAUUGUUCCCACCAGCCAUUUCAUCAGAGUUUAGGUUGACACCUCCAAUUACCUGCAAAAACGCAAAAAAAUGGACUUUUUUCAUAAAAUCGCAUUUUUCGGGUACUUGUACUAUCGCUGGAACCCUGAAAUUUUAGUAUGUGUUGUAAAACAAAAUUUCGGAUCUUUUAGAUGAUGUCUGAUCUUUUCACCAUGUACAGGGACGUGGCAAAUGAAUUAAACGCGAAAAUUCGAAUUGCUCAGAACCCAUUAAUGUUGGAAGAUUGUAAUUUUACACAAAUAAUCGAGUUAUUAAAGUAUUUAAUGCCUGAGAAUAUAAAUGGUCCAGAUGCCACUACGAAAAAGUUAUUAAAUAAAAUGUGAUUUUCGGGUCGGACCUUCAUGGGUAAAGUUCAUUAUUGCUCGCCCUGUAUGGUUCCCAAAAAUUUCGGUUAUAUAGCAUAUGAAAGGUAAAGGAUGAAGUUAUUUUUUGAAAAAAAAAUUUUUCCCAAAAUAAGUAUCGUUUGGCGGGAAAUCUCAAAAAACUGAAAAAGCUAGAACUCGUAAAAUAAUUUUUUUACAAAAAAAAGCUCCAAGUAUGUCAAAUCUCUUAUAAAAUGAAGUCUUUUCGCCGAAAAACUUUUUUUAUAAAAAUUUUUUUUUAGCCUCUGGAGAAGUUUGAAUUUUUUUUUUAGUCACUUUUGUUCGCUUAUAAUAACUCACCCUGUAUACCGAUCUGGCCCAAAAAGUAUACAGUUCUUAAGCCCCCACCGACCCUUAUGUCCUAAAAAUUUAAAGUCUUUUAAAGGCUUUUUAUUUGAGUUCUCGCGUCUGAAAGGAAUUUGACCCGUUUUUUUACGAAUUUUUGACUUUGAGACAGUACCGCUCCGUUUGGUGGUACCGGAAAAAAAAAUCGUUCACGGAUCCAUCAUUCUCAAUGUAUUGAGAGACCCUAUGCCAAAUUUCAUCGUUUCGCUAACCAUACAGCCAAAGAUAUGAAUUUUUAUUUCCAAAAAAACACGAUUUUUCGGGCCCGGGCUCGCGUGCAUAAUAUAGUCGCAGACGCUCCUAUAUAACAAGUAUAGUCGCUUCGCUCCUAUACUUUUGGUCCGUGGGGACCAGUUUGGAACCUUUAGGACUUGUCAGUGAUGGGCCUUAAAGGAUUUCUUAAAAAAAAAACCAAAAUUGUCAGGUGUACCAACGUUUAUAUGCCAAGGAAAGAGAUGACCAGUGGUUGGGGUAUCAUGCUUCAAAGAACCAUAAUUUGUUAUAUAGUCGCGUUGUGUUAGUAUACUAUCUUAUAUUUCAAAUAUCUGUCGAAGUAUAUUAAUUGUAUUCUAAAUAAAGCCUGAAUACCAAAUUCGAACAGAAUCGGACCAAUAGCUAAAAAGUUACGGUAGUCAUGUGACCUAGGCUGACUCAAAUGUCAGUUAUCUGUCAUAAUUUAUUCCUUGUAUCCUAAAGAAACCAUAAAUACCAAAUUCAGAGAGAAGUUCCCAUAAGUGUCUAUUUAUUGAAAUAGAACAAACAGGGAUUUUACGUCGAUUUGUUUUAAUUUUCCUUUUUGUUUUGAAAUAUAAUAGUAAUAAAAUAUCAAAAGAAUUGACAGGAGGAGAAUAAGAAAUAAAAAAAACCAUCAACGAAUCGAAUCGAAGCUAUAGAAGUCGAGAUAUUAGUAAAAAUGUGAAAAAAAAUAAAAGAAAACUCGUUUUUUUUCCACGGUACCAUUUUUUUUCUUAAAAUGAUAAUUGACAAAUUAUAAUGCAAGCCCUAAGUUGGCAAUUUCCAGUAAAAAAAACCCAAGAAAAAAAAAUUUUUUUUUUGCUCCAAAAUCGAAAGGGGUAUAGCCAUGAAAAAUUGUGAAAAAAUGGUUUUUAUUUUUUUCUAACUAAACUAUAACUCUAACAACUUUUUGCCUUAAACAAAAGUUCUAGGGAAUAUUACGAGGUAUUCGAAUGUUAAAACUAAUUGAUUAUAGCUAUCACAGAUUCGGAGAAAAUUGUAAAAAACUAUUAAUCAUAAAUAUCGAAUUAUCAAGAGCCCUAUGGAAAAAUUUCAACUUUUUAUUUUUCUAUCUUGUACUACUUCAGGAUACCUUUCAAAAAGGUUAUUAUCGAUUUGACUCUAAAAUGAACAGAAAACCUAUUUCUUUGCAUUUUUCGAUUUUCGAACAAAAUCCGGCCCAAAAUGAAAAUUUUUUCAAAACAUGCUCCAAAUUCAAAAUUUCUUUUUUCUGGCUAAAGACCAUUCAAAAAGUAAUGAAAAAGCUUAAUGACAAAAUUUUUCAAAAUCUAUAAUAAUGCUACAAUAUUAUGAAAGAAGAUAAGUUCCCUUUAAAGCCUAUGUAUUCGAACAGAUGAUUUUUUAAUUUUUUUUUUGAAUGGCAAAUUUAACAAAUAAUUUAACUAAUUAAGAUAAAAGGAAUAGGGUAAUACAAAAUAUUAUCUACAAAUAUAUACAUAUCAUCUAAUAGCAAAUUUUAAUCAAAUAGGAAAUUUUGAUAGUCACGUGACCCUAGAACUUAAUAUUUUAAAAUUUUGUAAGAAAUCAAUAAUUGCAUCCUAAAUAAACCCCAAAUUCCAAAUUUGAACCCAAUCGGAUUAAUAGCAAAAAAGUUAUGGAAGUCACGUGACUUUAAAAUUCAAUAUGUCAAAUUUCUGUCAUAAUUUAUUACUUGCAUCCUAAAUAAAGCCCAAAUACUAAAUUUCAACCCAAUCGGAUCAAUAGCAAAAGAAUUAUAAAAGUCACGUGACUUUAAAAUUCAAUAUGUCAAAUUUCUGGCAAAAUUUAUUACUUGCAUCCUAAACAAAGCCCAAAUAAAGCAUAAAUACCAAAUUUGAACCCAAUCGGACUCAUAGCAAAAAAGUUACAAUAGUCACGUGACCCGGAAGUCAAAUGUCAAAUAUCUGUCAAAAAUUAAUAAUUGCAUCCUAAAUAAAGCCCAAAUACCAAAUUUGAACCCAAUCAGACCAAUAGCAAAAAAGUUACAAUAGUCACGUGACCUGGAAGUCAAAUGUCAAAUAUCUGUAAAAAAUUCAUAAUUGCAUCCUAAAUAAACCCCAAAUACCAAAUUUCAAUCAAAUCGGACAAAUAGGAAGAAAGUUAAGGUAGUCACGUGACCCUAAAACAUAGUCAUGUCAAAUAUCUGUAAAAAUUUAUUAAUCUUAUCCGAAAUAGGUACUAGGUACCAAAUUUCAACCAAAUCGCACCAAUACCAAAAAAGUUAUGAUACUCGACUAACCUUAAAAAUCAAUAAUUUCAAAAAAUUUUUAUUUAUAUCCCAAAAGCAAUGUUUAAGAAUUGUUAACAUUUAUUAAUAAUAAACUAAAUAGUAAAAACUCACCUAAUAUCUAAAUUCUUAUUUUAAAUUAAGUAGAUAAUUACGACUGACCCGUGUAUAUAUUCGAAUAAUUUUAAUAAAAUAAUCGGGCAAAUUUCAUUUCGUCUCACCCCGGUAUAAAGACACUGACAUUUCAAAAAAACGGCAUUUUUCGAAGACGUCAAAAUGUUUGUCGAAUUUUCCUGGCCGCAAUACACAAUUUCCCCAAUUGAUAUGCACAGAUUCGGAAAGCCCAUUCAUUUUCUGAUUCGGUGCUUCCUUUCCCUGAUCGUUUCCGGUUCAUUUUCAUUCAUAAUUUUACAAAAAACCAAACCAAGUCCCGGCCACCUGUCACGAGCAAAAAAUUUGUAUCCACCAUGCGUCAAAGUAUUGUUCCCACUAGCCAUUUCAUCAGAGUUUAGGUUGACACCUCCAAUUACCUGCAAAAACGCAAAAAAAAUGGACUUUUUUCAUAAAAUCGCAUUUUUCGGGUACUUGUACUAUCGCUGGAACCCUGAAAUUUUAGUAUGUG